CCUCUCUGGGCUGGGACCUAGUUCGCGGCGACAUGGCCAAACGUACCAAUAAAGUCGGGAUCAUAGGUAAAUACGGGACCCGCUACGGGGCCUCCCUCUGGAAAAUGGUGAGGAAAAUUGAAAUCAGCCAGCACCCGAAGUACACUUGCUCUUUCUGUGGCAAAACCAAGAUGAAGAGACGAGCUGUGGGGAUCUGGCACUGUGGUUCCCGUGUGAAGACAGCAGUUGGCAGUGCCCGGACGUAUAAUACACUUCUGCUGUCGUGGUAAAGUCCGCCAUCAGAAGACUGAAGGAAUUGAAAGACCAAUAG